rnacentral:rRNA from 1 species
CCAUGGAAGCUGUGAGCGCCCGAAGUCCGUGCAGCAACCUGUGCAAACAGGGGCAAGCGGCCGAAGGCGAGCGCAGUGACUGGGGCG